CAGCAACGUAGAUGGGAGUGCCUGGUGCCUGGGACUAAGGUGAGCUGUAGGAAGGGACUAAAGGGGACAGAUGAGAAAGAAUAUGCAUGAGGGAGACGUAACAGGAGUUGGACAUGGCCAUAUGUAGCCCGGGGUAAGGGAAAAGUGAUAGAUAAUGCCCAGGCACUGGCUUGCAAAACUGGGACGGUAACAGUGCCUAUCAGCAAAAUGAAAGACAAAAAGAAAAGCAAAAGAAGUGCUCAGAGCUUGGUACAUCCUGGCCUUUCCAUGUCUGUGGAACUGCCACAAGGAUGUGUCUUCUAGGCAGUUAGAUGUUUGGGUCUAUAGUUCCAUUAGGGAGUUAUCAGAUAGACAUGGGAUGAAAGCCAAAGAAGCAGACAAGAUCACCUUCAAUAUGACUUUUCCAAAAGCCAGUCAAUGAGGAUGCAUUGAGAAGAGAACGUGGAAACAGAAGAAGUCCUGAAGAAAACCACUAUUGAAAGAAGUUAAAGGAAAUCAGUCCACAAAAUGUUGUAAGAUGAAUAGCCAGAGAGGUUGAAGGAAACCAGGAGAGUGAAUGUAGUACAAUGGAAGGAAAGGAAGAGCCUAGCUCAACAAGGAAGAAGUUGUCAUCUGUGCACAUGCUUCUCAGAAGUAAGAUAAGGAAGUUUCCUGAUGCCCACAAAGUUUAAAUAACGGACUCGAGGUUACCCAGCAAUAAAUGUUGAAAAAGAGUUUAAAUUAGUUGGCUUUCAGAGUUUGUGUUUUGGACAACUAUAUUCUACUUUGGACAGCACUGUAUUUUCUCAUUGUAAAAGCAGGCAGG
rnacentral:lncRNA from 1 species